CCCGCCGGCCUCACUCCCCGCCGCGGCGGGGGGGGGGGUGAGGGCGGUGUGUGUUUUGAUGGGGGGGAUGGCGGCUCUGGCGCCUCAGCGGCGGCUGUGAGGUGCUGCGGGCUGGCUGCGGGCGGCCGCAGCGAGACCUCGCCGGCUGUGGGGAGACAGGCGCGGCGGUGCGGAUAGCGACUGAAACGGCACCUGCGUGCACCACUCCCCCCCCCUCCCCACCACCCCAUUUCGCGUUCCGCCGCCCGGGGUCUGGGCUGAGGCGCCUGGCGGGCGCGCGUGGGGGAGCCUCGCGGGGCGCCGCUGCCCGCCCCGCCGGGCAGCCCCCGGCUGCCGCCCCGAGCCCGCUCGGUCCCUGCAAGGGUUGGGUUGUCACAGCACUGAACGGGUACCUGGCGGUCUGGGAGUGCCUGCGGAGGGUGAGAAAUGCUGCACCGCAGGAGCUGCAGCUGAAGCACGGUUAGAGUCGAAAAAUACCAGAAGACGGAAGAAAGGUUAGCAAGUGUAAUCCCCGUCUCGGAACUCCCUUCGGUUGUGCCACCAUCCUGAAACGCCUGGUAAAAGAACACCCUAAUACCACUCUGUGAGAGCUUUCUACAGAUGGGAGCAACAAGAAAUAAAAUCACUGGAUGUCAGCAGUGGAAGCACUCUUAAAUCUGUGACAGAAACACAUGACUGACUGCUUUCAACCUCCUCUGCUUUUCACAGUCCAAGAAGGGAUCACCUUUCCCAAUUAGAAGCCCAAGUCAGAAUUCAGCUUAUAUUGUUCUAAACUAUUUGACAGAAAGUCUCCCCUCAAAAGGCAGACAAUUAAAUGCUCAUAAUUCAUGAACAGAAUUACCCACUAAUCCUAAAUAACACUGUUCUUCAUUAUUUUCACUUGAAAAUUGAGUAUAUAAAGCACUGGAAAACCAAAUUUAGAAGGAAAAAAAAGGAACAAUUAUUUUUCUACUUAGAAACAACACAAUGUAUUACCAAUGUACUACUUAGCUGUGACUAAAUUGCUUAAAGUAUUUAAAACUAAAGGUUUUUUGAUAACUGCAAUGUUUGGGAUGAGCUCUUAGAUUAUAUAUAAAUACUAAUGUGUUGCACACAAUAGACCCGACUAUAGAAGACAUUAUAUCUAUUGGUUUUUUUCUCUUUUAAAACAGAUAUAUGCAUUCGAUCCCAGUAUCUAUAUAAAAGAAAUCUGUGAGUUCAGUGGGAGGUUUGUUCUACGAAAAACGGGAAAUGGGGUAUUAGCAACCUCCAGAACUCCUGGGAAUGGAGCAGUUCCAACUUCCACUUUAGUCAGUGGAAAUUAUGGCUAGAUAGAUAACCAUAAACAGCAUACAGAAUCAGUUUUAAACGUUGUUGCAAAUAACUACCAUCUAUUUUCUUACCAUAGAAAAUCAGCAGGAUGCAUCUCAUGAGUAAUACACUUCAGUAGCAGCAAGUAUUUGCAGAAAUGCUUUCAACUAAUUCAAUUCAGGUUGUCAUAAAAUUGAAAAAUAAAACACAUCAACAUUUGCAUGAGAAUCAAUGAACAUCUCAAGAUAGUGUCAAUUUGCACACAUAACCUUUUUACCAUUACAGCGCUUAAUGCAUUUCACAACUACUGAAUUAAAAUUUAUAUUGCACUGAAGUAAAUGUCUUGUAAAAAGCCGGUUUCAAAUAGAUUUGGUCUAUUUGUAGAUUAUCACCAAAAUACAGAAAAAUUAUUAGGAACCCUGAUAAAAGUUUAAAAUUGGCUGUUAAAAAGAAUCUGUAUUUACUGAUAAAUUCAUUUUCUUUGUAUAUGGUAUUAUCACUUAAAAGAAUACACUUAACAAUAACAAAUAAAUGCUUUAUUCAAUUAAAUUGGUGCGAUCUAACUUUGUUAAAAUAAUCUUUGAAAAGUUUGAACCUGUUGGUCCUAUUUCCUAGUGAUAUGUAGAGCCUUCUUUUACAUAUUAUGACAAUUUGAACAAUUACAAUCAAACCAUCCAAAAACUAACAGAAAUUAAGAAAAA